CCUGAAUCCAGUGCACAGAUAUUACUAUUACUACUAACCCUAACUCAUCAGAACCUCAUAAUUUGCCCAUACUCUGAACAUCUUAAAAUUGUUCUGCAGGUCAGUAAUAUCAAGUAGUAACAUCAAACAUAUUCAUCAAUAUGUUUGAUGUUGGUGUCUUCAACAGCUGGUACCAUGAAGAGAAUAAGUCCCUACUUGAGCUGAACACCAUACAGUUUCUCCUGUUGCUUUAAACUUGCUGUUGGGAAAAGCUCAUGUUACACACAUAUGACAUUUUAUCUAUCACGUCCAUUAUGUGGAAUCUUUCCAGGGCUGAUAGCUUGGGACUCCCUCUCUCCUGAUAAACAGGAAGUCAGUGGAAAAAUGGGAGGAAGUGUAACACUCCGAUGCUGCUAUGAUACAGGUGUGUCACAAAGUUAUUAAUCCAAAGGGGACCAGGUAACCAAGUUACAAAUGUAAUAGCAUGUGUUCACCGAAAGAGGGAGUCACUACAAUGGAAAACAACCUACAAGUGGUGCUGGGGUUUGGUUCUCCUUUAAAUAAAUUAAAUCUCAACCAUGCACAUAGCAAGAUCCCUAUCCAGUGAGCUGAUAUCCUUUGGUGGUGGCUCCAUAUACGCUAGCAAAGUAAAGGAAAAUCAAAAUGAGUGUACCUAUCUAGCGAAACUCAGCUUUUGCUGUGAUGCCCCCUAUUGGUCAUGAAUGGUAACAGGUCUGCUGGGUAUUGGAGAGCCUUGGAGCGAUGAGAUGAUGGGAGGAGCCAGCCACAAAAGGACUGUUGAGUAAAAUGUGUUUAUGUUUCUCUCUCCUUCUUAACUGGAACUCGCUCUGCUCUCCACUGCCUCACUCCAUCAUGCUCUUUGCACUUGUGAUAUGUUUCAUUUUAUGUGGUCCAAGUGUUGAAGACAGUAUCAGUCAACCGAAGGAUGUCCAACGUGCUGUUGAGGAUGCUGCUGUUGUGCUCUCAUGCAGCUACGUUAGCUCUGUAGUCAAUAGUCUCUUAUGGUACCGCCAGUACCCCGGCUCACCACCACAGUUCCUUAUCAUGGAAUACUCUGGAAUCAUAACUAAUCCAAUACCAGGAAUGAUAAUAACACAUAUCAAACAACAGAAACUUGUGGAGCUGCUGAUCUCCUCUGCUGCGGUGACAGACUCUGCUCUGUACUACUGUGCUC